GUCGAGCGGACAGAUGGGAGCUUGCUCCCUGAUGUUAGCGGCGGACGGGUGAGUAACACGUGGGUAACCUGCCUGUAAGACUGGGAUAACUCCGGGAAACCGGGGCUAAUACCGGAUGCUUGUUUGAACCGCAUGGUUCAAACAUAAAAGGUGGCUUCGGCUACCACUUACAGAUGGACCCGCGGCGCAUUAGCUAGUUGGUGAGGUAACGGCUCACCAAGGCAACGAUGCGUAGCCGACCUGAGAGGGUGAUCGGCCACACUGGGACUGAGACACGGCCCAGACUCCUACGGGAGGCAGCAGUAGGGAAUCUUCCGCAAUGGACGAAAGUCUGACGGAGCAACGCCGCGUGAGUGAUGAAGGUUUUCGGAUCGUAAAGCUCUGUUGUUAGGGAAGAACAAGUACCGUUCGAAUAGGGCGGUACCUUGACGGUACCUAACCAGAAAGCCACGGCUAACUACGUGCCAGCAGCCGCGGUAAUACGUAGGUGGCAAGCGUUGUCCGGAAUUAUUGGGCGUAAAGGGCUCGCAGGCGGUUUCUUAAGUCUGAUGUGAAAGCCCCCGGCUCAACCGGGGAGGGUCAUUGGAAACUGGGGAACUUGAGUGCAGAAGAGGAGAGUGGAAUUCCACGUGUAGCGGUGAAAUGCGUAGAGAUGUGGAGGAACACCAGUGGCGAAGCGACUCUCUGGUCUGUAACUGACGCUGAGGAGCGAAAGCGUGGGGAGCGAACAGGAUUAGAUACC
rnacentral:rRNA from 1 species